rnacentral:lncRNA from 1 species
GUGGUGGCAGACAUUCUUUCCCGGGCACCUGCUCCUCAAGAUGAGACAGCCUCGCCCACAAGUGACGUCGAAGUUCACGGAGUUGCCGUAGUAUCGGCACUCAACAAGUCCACUGGAGGAUGCCCGGUCACCAGGGGAGCUGCUGCAAGGAAGACGUCUGCGCACACCCAUACCAGACUUUGGACCCCUUGUUGCCACGCAAGUCAGAAAGCACAAGCAGAGCAAGCACAACAGACGCGUACUUCCAGGCCUCAAGAGCCACGACGUCGUUCGCAUAAAGGGGACGGCAUGGGCACGAAAAGCCAAGGUGCUUCGAUCAGUCGGACCACGUUCCUUCUAUGUGGAAACGCAGGACCAUAACACCUUACGCCGUAAUCAGCAGCACCUCUUGGCAACGAGUGAACCUUUCGAGGACACUACAGACAAGGAGUAUUACGAUGAAGACCAAGUUCCGGCCUCUCUAGAAUCUCGCACAUCAGACUCGUCAAGUGUGCCAGCAGCAAGUUGUACACAGCUAUCUUCGCAACAAGUUAGUUGUACACAGCCACCUUCGCAACAAGUUCUGCCACAACGAAGGUUGCUGCGUCACACCCGCGUCCUCCUGAAUGUCUGGGAUACGAUGAAAACUUCCAUCAGACAAACCAACGGCAUUGAAGGGGAAGAUGUAUCAUAUCAGUUCAACGAGCACAAGCCAUCUUUGCGUGCUGGAACUACACAUGCCUUUCCUUGCCCUCUAUUUCCACUACCCCCUUUCCCUCGCUUUGGUAUAAAAUGCCCAGCGCAAUAAACACGAGUUCACUGUUGU